ensembl:snoRNA
CACGGUGGUUGCUGUGUGUGGCAGGUCUGUAAGCGUAUCAGAGCUGCAGCAGAACUACCACAGAGAUGAGAAAGGAGCAGGCUGUGCUGAGAACUUUCAAGCUUUGAGUUUUCAGCUCUCUGUCCUGCUCCUACAGGA